rnacentral:lncRNA from 1 species
CUCAGGGUCUUGUGCCUACUAGGAAAGCACUUUACCCCUGAGAUACAACUUCAGUCACAUCCAGCAAUCAUGGUUAUCGAGAGCACUAAAAUAUUACAAUGGAUAUGUAGCUGGGGAACAGUACACUAAGGGAAAUGAAUUCGAGAAAAAAAAAGUGCCAUGUAUUUUAUAUGUGAUAUUAUAUACUAUUUUGAGAAUAAGAAAAUCAAUUGAUGAAAAAUGCCAGGAGCCAAGUGGAGCAGAAACAAGGAAUAACUGCUGGUGGGAACUGGUGAAUCUGCAUGUAAAAUAUAAAAAGUGAUAUGUAAAGAAUAAACAAAAUGAUACAAAAUUGUACCCUCUAAAGUUGGUUACAAAAGUAAACUUAGUUUUACAUGCACUUUGCCAGAAUUAAAAAAAAAAAAUCAUGCAGUUUUUAAAGAACAAAGCAGUCAAGGCCCCGACCCAUAAAAUUAGGCAAUAAAUCAUAAAUGAUGGCAGCUGGAUGAGCUGAAUUCAAGUACAUUUACAUGAACAUACUGUUGCUAUAUGUGUAUGAGACUCAGUUAAUUGUUCUUUUCCUCAGUGCUUAUUUUAUUAUAAUACAUAAAAGUAUUAUCUCUAUCAUGACCAAUAUUUGAAACUUGCCAAGUUUUUACUAUAUUUACAUAAUUCAGUAUACUUAAAUAUGCAUUGUUUCUUUGUUUUUCAGAGCUGUGGAUCAAGCACAGGGCCAGGCACAAGUAUGGCAAGCCUUUCACCACUGAGCCACACUUGGAGUGAAUCUGAUCUCUAGUCCUGAUUAGUUGUCUGUUUAUGAAAGGUCAUCUAAUGCCACAUUUUUUUUUUUAUUUUUAGUGUGUCUAUUUCUUAUGGUUGAAAUAAAACUUUGUCACAUCCUAGUGGCA